rnacentral:lncRNA from 1 species
AGGAGCACAAAAGAAUGUACAGACAGAUCUUAAAGCCACCAGAGAGUAAGGGAAGCAGGGAUGGGCAGAGGGAGAAGUUAAAUACCGAUUCAGUCUUCACGGUGCUUGGCUGACCCCAGGGGAGUCCUGGAGCUUGGAUGGUGCCUUCAGAAAGGUCCCAAAAUGAGGCUGUUGACAAGUGACCAUCUAGCCCAGGAAGCUGGAUUGUUUUAAUGCCCUUCAAGGUCCAGCAAAGACAAGGAUGACAACCAUAUUUGCAAGCCAGUCCCCAUACUACCAAUGUUCUUUCUACAAGAAGUAGGAAUCCCCUGUAUAAUGAGGAUGAAGAAAACCCUCAAGCAAGAGAAAAAGAAAAGAAGACAAUCAAAGAGAGAAGUUCUCAGCUUGUUGGGAGAUAUGGGCUGCAGCUACAGUUAACUCAGUGGAUGUAGAAGAUAUGGAGUGGGGAACAACAGUGUUUGCUACUCUGGUCCUUCAAGUUUUUAUUGAGUGUUUUGAAGUAGGGAUUGUAUAAUGGGUGCCCAUUUCUCUCCACGGUGCCCAGCAGAGUUCUAGGAGGUAGAGACGUCUGUUGUGUUUGCUUUUUCUUCACCUUUUGGUGGUUCUUCACUAAUCUAUGCAUGAAUUCAUUUUGAAACCUAUAUCCCAUUUUCCUUCUGGGAAGUCAUUUUCUCUCCUCCUCUUAGCUCAUGAAUUCCCAGUGAAAUUGAAUCCACUGUGAAUUCAGUGGAAUUGCCUCCAGAGGUGGUCAGGGAAAUCAGGUCCGGUCAGUUAGAGUAUUUUAUUCUCUGACUACAGUAAUCAGUUCAGAAAGAGUAAGUGACAAAAUCAUAGC